AACGAGAAGGUGUAGCAAUACACUUGUAAAGUGGCGAACGGGUGAGGAAUACAUGGGUGACCUACCCUCGAGUGGGGAAUAACCAGCCGAAAGGUUGGCUAAUACCGCGUACGAUUCCCGGUUUGCGGAUCGGGAAGGAAAGCGAUGCUGUGAGUAUCGCGCUCAAGGACGGGCUCAUGUCCUAUCAGCUUGUUGGUGAGGUAACGGCUCACCAAGGCUUCGACGGGUAGCUGGUCUGAGAGGACGAUCAGCCACACUGGCACUGCGACACGGGCCAGACUCCUACGGGAGGCAGCAGUAAGGAAUAUUGCGCAAUGGGCGAAAGCCUGACGCAGCGACGCCGCGUGGGGGAUGAAGGUCUUCGGAUUGUAAACCCCUUUCGGGAGGGAAGAUGGGAUGGGUAACCAUCCGGACGGUACCUCCAGAAGCAGCCACGGCUAACUUCGUGCCAGCAGCCGCGGUAAUACGAAGGUGGCAAGCGUUGUUCGGAUUCACUGGGCGUACAGGGAGCGUAGGCGGUUGGGUAAGCCCUCCGUGAAAUCUCCGGGCCCAACCCGGAAAGUGCAG
rnacentral:rRNA from 1 species